ensembl:lncRNA
CAAACAAAGUUUUAAGAAACCAGGAUCUGAGGUUUCAUUCCUCAGUCUGAGCAGUGACUCACCCACAUUCCUGACUGCUCCAACAAGAGGCGAGCCCUGCUCCUGGCAGACCUGAUCCUCUGCAUUGCAUUGUGCCAAGCAAAGUCCAGCAGCGGCAGCACAUCGGAGCUGGUGCAGAACGGGGCCAAACCAGUGUUGGCCAAACUCCUACCAAGGUCGUCUAAGAACGCUCAGAGGCAGCAGCUGAAGUUUUUCACAAUUCAAGGGCAGCAGAGACAAGUACAAAACUAACUGAGCAGAGGGAGCCGGGCAGCACACAGGAACCUGUUUGCUGUGCUGGUAGCUGCAGCUGCAGACCUGGGGAGGAUGUCUGGGAGAUGCAGAAAGUGGACAUUUUGCAAAAUCACAUGAGAGAGUACCCAGCUCAGCUCGCCUCAGUCCUGCUGUCUUGCUUCCCCAUGGAAACGCCGUGCUGCACCAUCUGCCAGUGCCUCCCUGCAGCGCUUUGAGCUCUGACCCCGGCCCCAUCUGAAAGGUGCAUGAACCCACCAGAAGUCUCUGCCUUUAUCUUCCAAAUCUCAUCCUCUUGAUUGGGGAGUAAGGAGGCUGUGAGUGCACCCAUCCGCCAUCCUGCUGCCCCCCCAGCUCAUGUGUGCUUCAGCUGACAAUUACUGCACAGUUAUUCACAUCAUGUCCUGCUUGCCUAGUGAGGGUGGGCAGGGAGCUGGGAUGGCUGUGGUGGAAUCCAGUUAUAAAG